ensembl:lncRNA
AUGACUAGUCUACAACAUAGUUUUCAUUUCUGUUUCUGCAACUUGUUUCUUCCAGCAAAUCUACUGACCAGAAGUACUGCAAAGUAUCAAACACAAAUGGAGAGUGAAUGGAAGAUGUCAGGCCUAUCAGUGAAGUAUUUCUUCAGCAGUGCUUACUCCAACUUGGUGAUAAAAGAAUAUGAAAACAAUAUACUGUGGGGAAGAAAAGACAUCACUGACCACAAAGACAGCCUUGUGAUGAGUGGUGGUAAUAUGCAACAAUACUGCGACCGACAGCUUUUAUGUUUUCACAUUGUCCAAAAUUGCCAGCACCCACCAGCUAGUGCUGGUGCGCGUGAAGAGUGACUAGGAGCCCUCUGGAGAAACCCACUCAGCUGCAGGGCGCACCGGGCACUGGAGCCCGCACAUCUGGCUGAGGAGGAGGCAGCAGCCCAGGAGAAACCUCCUUCCACCUCCCCCUUUCUCCCCACCUCCAUCAUCGCCAUUCUCCCCCAGCAUAACCUUUCAUCUGUUACCUUGGAUGUCGCAACGCUUUGUAGCAGCACUUUCACUCUACUCUUUCAAAGGGACUCAGGGGGACUGAAGUCAGUAGGGAAGUAUAACCCACGGCAACCCAAAUGACAGCUGCCGGAGCCUUUCAUGUCAUUGUUUUUCAGGCUCUAGAGGAGAAAUGUCUGGUAGAAUAUAACCUUGUAUGUAUACACCCUCAAGCUUUUGGGGUGUUUGUGUUUCAGGCAACAUACUCUCAGCUUCUUUAUUAGCAGAGAGCUGAAAGACAGGACGGAUUCACAGAAGCGGUAACAGCAAGCAGUCUAAUGCUUUGCACUGGUGACAAAAGGCAUGACAGGGCCAGUAAGGGACAGCUACACAAGCCCCUGUUACUGGAAAAAGUCCCUUUCAGUUAAUAUUGGUUCCCCUUUCAGGUCUGCACAACUGCCUCAUGAAGUGACAUACUUUUCUUUGACUGUGUUACAAAUUACAUACAUAAAAAAAUUAGGUAUCAUGCCAAAGUUUUGUUCUACUUAAAAUCAAUACAAAACCCCCCCACUGUAACUGCUAAAACCAAGCAAAGAGUAUUUGAUUGAUCCUUAACAGUCCUCACUAGUAUAAAGAAAAGCACUAUAAUCAGUAUAAUCAAUUACUAUACUUUAAAGAGUAAUUCCACCAACUGAAGCCAUUGCAAGUACUUGUCAAAUAUCACACUAGGGCGCACUUUACUGAAGUCUCUUAGUAGGCCUCAAUUUAUAAGCAUAGUUUAGUUUGGGUGAAGGGUUUAAAAAUAUACAUAUAUAUUUUAUCAGUUGCUAAUUAUUAAAGGCAAGAUUUAUUAAGAGGAUACAACUGAUCAUUUCUAACAUCCCACGGCUGUCUUCAGUGAACACAAUGCCGAGCUGUAGGUCUUUGAAUCAUUUCUGCAGAACAGGCCACCAUGCCCCCAGUAGUGAGGGCACCUAACCAUUCUUUACAGCUUUCUAAAUCUGAAUUAGCAACAGCCAUUACACUAGAUUUACACAGGCAAACAUCCACCUACAAGUGGUGGAAGGCGUUUUCUUUCUCGUAAUCUCCCACACGUUAGGACACAUAGCCCUAAAAAUGGGAUAUAGAUUCAAGCAUUUUUAUAUUUCCGGGGCACUCUCCUUUAUGCAAAGUUCAACUGGCAUUUCAUUCUCCAGGUUAAGCGUAGCCAGAAGGAAAGCUUCAUGGACAGCAUUGUACAUGCACGAACACAUGGUGUUUGUUCCCUCCCUGACUUUCCCUUUUGCUUGUCCUCCAGUUCUUUGUGUGUGUCUCUCUCUUUUAAAACUGAAUUAAGAGGUAUUUUCUUGGGAGACUCAAAAACAACAGGAAUGAAACCACAGGAGUGCUUUGUGAAGGAGAUCCUUCAUUUUAAACAUAUGUUUCCCCAACAACAUGAGAGGAAAGGUGAAACAUAAAAGCUGAUUUAUUUUUUAAAAACUGUUCAUUUCCAAAUAUAUUUCACUUUGAAAGCCUCUCUUUAAAAAAGCAAUGCUAGGGCACAUUCGCAUAGCAAGGAGGAGAGUUUAUGCGUACUGCUUUCUCUUCUCCCUAACAGCUUAUUUUUCUCUGAAAUAACGAGUAGGGUAGUGGAUUUUCAACGUGUUUCCAGGUGGCUUCUGCGCCUUGCGCCUUCCCCUACGGCAACCGAACUGUGCUCUGCACCCCGCGGUCCCCCUAUGACCCUAGCUUUGGCACAGCCCAAAAACCGUAGUGCUCCUCAACCACCUGGCUGUGACAGGUUGCCUGGUGCCGCUGCUUCUGCAGGGAGACAAGGCUUGCUGGGGCUGCGGCGCAACGAGCGUGGAAUCGCCCACAAGCUCAGAAAGCAGUAACCCGCAAGGCUUUCGGCACCCUAAGCAGAGUUCCCUCAGGUUCUUCAUCGUCCAACAACUUCUACAUGAAGAAUGAAUUCAGUAUUUUUGAAGUGGACUUCAUGAAUCUGAGCCCAUAUGCAAAAUUCAUACAUAUUACAAACCAUUACAUUGACCUACCUCAACUUACUAUGCCUGUUUUGUAACAAGAAAAAUCCCACAGUGGACAGAGGUUAUUCUUUCCCUGUCAUUAUUUAACUAUGUAAGUACUUUGAUUAGAGUAAAAUUAAAUAUAGAGAAAGAGAGUAAAUUGGAAUAUAGAAAUAUAGGUUUCGGAAACAUAGUGACAUUUAGCACUACUAAUAAUUUUCUGGAAGUUGAAUAGCGAGUCUCUAUGAAGAGAUCAUUAUCUUCCUUUCCUGAGACUGAAAUUUUAAAUGACUGGUGUUAUGGCUCCCCGAGGAACAACAGACACUCAGGCAGAAGUUGUCGCAAAGCAGACUAAUUCUAUUCCCUCCAAGGGUAAUGCCAUGAACUUUGAAAUGGCUGCUAAAGUUUCAGGACUACCUUCUGAAUGAGAGGAAAACUCAUGAAUAGAUUUAACAAAUUGUAUUUUCUCAGAUGCUUAGCUAUCACGGUAGUAGAAUCUUAAAAAAAAAAAAUACAAAACCCAAAACUGGCUGUCUCGUAGUCACUGACUAAAUUCUCUGAAUCUAAAACUAUCACUAACUUUUCCCGCUUACACAGUCAAAUGACUAGAGUAGAAAAGCACUUUGAGAGAAUCAUAAGACAGAAGGAUGAAACAGGUCAGAAAACUUAUUUUAUAUAACGGAAAUACAAUUCCAUUAUAUAAAGGGGAUUUUGGUUUCACUUCCUCAAUGUUUGAUGCUCAGUAAAAACUUCCUUGAAGCUGGACAUACAAGAGAAAUAGUAAUAAUUAAAUCAAAGUAUCUUCUGGAAAUACGUAGGACAAAGUUUUACACAGACUCUCAGAGCUUGUCCAGCGAGGGUACACCUGGCUGAGGAAGCGUUUACAAGGGUUUGCACUGAUGUUUUCCUGGAGCACCUCUUAUGGCACGUCCUGAUUUGAGCGAGUCCCACCACUGGUGGGGCCCAGCUCAGCAGUCACAACAAAACUAGAAGUCUCUUCCCCUCUGUACUUUGUCCUCGCCCCGGUACGCCAUGCGAGUGGGACCAGGCUAGCGCAUGCACUGGCUCUACUGGCUCCUCCUGCCCACGGCAGCACAGAGCAGUCCCUGCCCGACAGAGAUGGCCAGCACCAACCCCUUCACGCUACGGGUGGCACAAAGCAGCUGAGUGAGGCCAGGGAACGAGUCUGUUUUUUAACCAGAGUCAGUGAAGGCAAGGCGAGGGUCUAAAUCAAGGCGCUUACUGUCUGUCAGCAGACCUCAGAAGUUAUUUAGAAGAAUAAACAUGGUGACAGAAGUUGUAAUUUGUAAUGA